rnacentral:misc_RNA from 1 species
CCAGUGCCGCCGGCGCGCGUUCCCCGUUCGGGGGGCGUUCGCCGGUUUGAGCCCCACCCGUGAACACUGUACCUCCGGUUGCCUCGGCGGGCCUCGUGCCCGCCGGGGGUGAAACUGAACCUCUGAAGUGAACGUGGCCGUCUGAGUGAGAUGUCAAUCGUUAA